rnacentral:rRNA from 1 species
CCUACGGGAGACAGCAGUGAGGAAUAUUGGUCAAUGGCCGUAAGGCUGAACCAGCCAAGUCGCGUGAAGGAAGAAGGAUCUAUGGUUUGUAAACUUCUUUUAUAGGGGAAUAAAGGUAUCCACGUGUGGAUAUUUGCAUGUACCCUAUGAAUAAGCAUCGGCGAACUCCGUGCCAGCAGCCGCGGUAAUACGGAGGAUGCGAGCGUUAUCCGGAUUUAUGGGGUUUAAAGGGUGCGUAGGUUGUUUUUUAAGUCAGCGGUGAAAGUUUGUGGCUCAACCAUAAAAUUGCCGUUGAAACGGGAAGACUUGAGUGUGUUUGAGGUAGGCGGAAUGCGUGGUGUAGCGGUGAAAUGCAUAGAUAUCACGCAGAACUCCGAUUGCGAAGGCAGCUUACUAAGCCAUAACUGACACUGAAGCACGAAAGCGUGGGGAUCAAACAGGAUUAGAUACCCCAGUAGUC